AUCAAGCACAAAUGACUUGUCUUCACUUUCAAUGUCCUUCACAGCCUAUCCCCACCCUACCGAUCAUUUCUCGUGUACUAUCAAGCUGCAAACUCCCACCUCCCAGCAACCAGCAUUGCUGGCCUUCAUUGCCCACUUGUUACAUUUUCAAACAAGUACCUUUGUGCUUUCUUCUAUUUUGCUUCUUGUGCAUGGGAGAAGUGCCUCAAACAUCCACAAAAGCGCCUCACUGUCAUCCUUAAAAUCAGCCCCUUAGAUUUCUCCUUUGCCUCGAUGCCUACAAAAAACUCAAUGGCUAGACUCUCUCUGUGCUGAAAUCACUCCCUCUCCUGCUACCCAGUAUUGUCCCACUGUUUGCUUGUGCUCCCACAUCUGUAUCUGUUACUACCUCUUAUCUUAGACUGAAAACUCUUUGCAGCGUGGAUCAUCUUUUUGUUCAGUGUUUGUCCAGGAUGUGGUAUACUGUGGGACCAGGACCAUGACUGGGGACCUAGACACUACUGCGAUAUAAAUAAUAAAAUGCUAACAGAUGGGCCCAACAGUGAAUAUAAAGACUAACUCAAGUGAAGGAACGUUCCUGGCAUCCUAAUAUCAAAAGCUUAACUCCAGAUGUUUAGAAAAUGCAGCAGAACUCCAGGAAGGAAGGCGGCCACAUGUCGGCUUUCCAAGUCUUCAUAAAAGGAGAUUGAUUUGAUGCUCAUUAAGCUCCUAGAGGCCGCCAGGCAUUAAAGUUAAUUUCUCUGCUAAUUGUUUUUCAUAUUUCUUCUAAUCGGUUAUUGUUUGAAGUGUGAAGACACUGACUACCACAAAUCAGUGGAGGGGUCCAGGGGCUGUUUUCUGGCUGGUAUACAGAGAGGCCAGAGAGUUUUGCCUUUUAGAUGGUCUUUGGACAUGCCUCAACACUUGGUAGCAGGAAUUAGUGAUUUAAGCCUCCACCCACCUCACCUGUUGAGCUGACUCCAGAGACUUUAACCUCAAUGCAAUGUGAUGGCCACUGGUGUGCCCCAGUCAGAGCUUGCAGAGGUCUCAGGAUCCUUGGAGGCUUGUGGAGCGAUGGAGUAUAACCCUCAGCAUGGACACCUGGUGGUACUGUAGAAGACUAAUAGAACACAGACAGACCCUGGACAUUGGCGGGCGGGAUCGAACCUGGGGCCUGUGGAGCUUAGUGCAUGAGCCUCUACUGCAUGAGCUAAAAGCCACAGGGUCCUUAGCUACGGCUCCAGAUCUCUUUAAGUGGUCCCGAUGCCACUAGAUGGGACAGCACACCCCACCCAGGAGUGUCACAGAGCCACUCACAGAGCCUCAAGCCAGCUGUCCUAGUCCCAUGUAGGGCCAGCUUCGGUGCAUAAACAGCUACAGAAUCUCAGGGGUGGAGGUGAGCUGUACCACUCAGACUGCAGGGGCUGAAUGUCCCACCUUCUGUGCGUGGGACUGCAGCCCUUAAAAACAAACAAACAAAAAAAAACCCUGUCCCUUUGGGAAAUGGAGCCAGUCACCCGGUGGAGGCUUGAGACCCUGGAAUGAGAAUCCUGCAAGGUAAUCUCUUCAGGAGAAGCACAAGAGCAAGUCAGAGCUAAAUAAUACUGCCCUGCCAGUUGAUGGUCAGGGGGAAUCAAGCCUCCAGCCUCACUCAGAGGGACCAUUACUCCUACAAGCAGCCAGGACUACUCCCACCUUCCAGGCCAUUCUGCGGUGCAACCAGCCAAAUUAUGGCUGCUCAGGAUUUGGGGAGAGAACUGCAGCAAGAGAAAACAAGAAGAAGGGGUUUCUUGUUUUUCUCCCCCCUCUAAUGCAGCCAUGAUUUGGCCCACAGUAUUUACCAGGCCAAAUAUAACCUAAGUCCCCAGCAAGUCCGAAGUCAAACUGUACCCUCGAGCAAUAAAAAUCAUGCUGCUGUCAUUGUCAUAUGUUUUUGAUUUUAUUGGUUUUUUUUAAAAAACCAAGUUAUUACAAAUGAAUCAUUUAUUUGAAGGCUUCUGAGAGGGAGAAGUCUCAUUGCAGAUAUGACGUAUUUUCAGUCUUCUUGUGAACCAAGACAGCCAAGUCAAAUCCGUAUGCAUAAACAAAACCAAACAAAAACUAGAACAGUUCAGACCACAGUUUAUAUCAUGCAAAUUCCCUAAUAUCAACAGAAGGCUUUUUUAAAAAAAACAAACAAA